AUGGCCCUGCUGCUGUGCCUGGGCAUGACCGCGGCGCUGGCCCGGGGCUGCCUGCACUGCCACGGCAACUUCUCGGACAAGUUCUCCUUCUACCGCCACCACGUGAACCUCAAGUCCUGGUGGGUGGGCGACAUCCCCGUGUCGGGCGCGCUGCUCACCGACUGGAGCCAGGACACGAUGAAUGAGCUGCACCUGGCCAUCCCCGCGGAGAUCACCGAGGAGAAGCUGGACCAGGUGGCCAAUGCCGUGUAUCAGAGGCUGGAUCAGCUGUACCAGGGGAAGAUGUAUUUCCCGGGGUACUUCCCCAAUGAACUGCGAGCCAUCUUCAGGGAACAGGUGCACCUCAUCCAGAACGCCAUCAUCGAAAGCCGCAUCGACUGUCAGCGACACUGUGGUAUCUUCCAGUAUGAGACCAUCUCCUGCAACAACUGCACUGACUCCCACGUUGUUUGCUUCGGCUACAACUGCGAGUCGUCGGCACAGUGGGAGCGGGCCGUGCAGGGCCUCCUUGGGUACAUAAGUAGGUGGCACAAGUAAGUCCCCCAUUCCUCAAACGGGACAUCCUAUCAGAGGCAGUGGGGGUGUGCAUGGGCAUGCCUCCACGCAGGACAAGACACGAACACAAGGUAAGGCUGCAGGCCAUCCUCGCCAAAGCCCUGGCCUUCCCUGGGGAGGGGUCAAGGGAGGGAGGGGCAGGGUGGCAGGAGUCCUCCGGGGCCUGGGGGUACAGAGCUGGGAGGGCGUUCUCUGCACGUGGACAUGCCUGGAUGUCACCUGUACAACCACACCCCACGUGACCGCUCCAUGAACCAACUUCGAGCUCCUCCUCUUCCCCACUGGGCUGCACAGAACCACCCCGGCCUUCCUGGUCUCGCCAAGCUUCACGUGUCUGGAGCCGCCACACCUGGCCAACCUGACGCUGGAGAACGCCUCUGAGUGCCUGACCCAGCACUGACCGACUGCCUGAGCACCCCCGCUCCAUGGGGGCCAGGAUUCAGCAGGGCUGGCCCGGCUGACCCUCUGGGAGCAGGCGUGCUGCUGCCUUGGGGUCCCCCAUACAGCCCGAGCCUGCCGGCGGGAGGAGGGCAGGGAGAUGGCUUUUGUACAUAGAUAGCACUGCAGGUUCCCAGGACUUAGCUGGGUGAUUAAACUGCCCUGACAUUUCUCCUUGAGAAGUUGUCGUUGGCACUGAGGGUUGGUCCCCAGGCACAGGGACGGCCCCGCCCCAGCUGGGGUGGCUGAUGGACCCAACGGCCGAUUGUCAAAACCAGUCUGAGUGUCCUGGGGCUGGCUGUGACAAAGUACCACAAGCUGGGUGACUUCAAACUCACAGCCCUGGAGGCCAGAAGUCCAAAAUCACGGCACCGGCAGGGCUGCGCUCCCUCAGGGGCUCAAGGGGAGGGUCCUUCCUUACCCCUUCCAACUUCUGGUGGCCCCAGGCGUUCCUGGCUCAAGGCUGCAUCACUCCAGUCUCUGCCCCCACUCACCAAGCAUGUCCUCUGCCAGGGGCUCCCCAACAGAAGGCCCCUUCCAUGCACAGCGCAGGGUUCUCAGGAUUACUGAGGCUGCGUUUUGUCAGAACCAGGGCCAGCAGGGUUUUUCCUGUUCUGGUGUGUGGGUCACUUGAAGCCACACCAAACAAGCACAGGGGCCAACGUCUCCUGCAUUCUUUCCUUCUGACAAUGCUUGUGGCCCAGGUCCCGAAAAGGGGCAGGUAACGGCACGAGGCAGGGCUAAGGGUUUUAGAGCAGAUUCAGGGGACGAAGAACAAACUUGGGGUUGUGUCCACCGAGGGGGCCGUCUGUGCACGUAUGCAUGGCCGCAGAUCACAGCGGCACUCUUGAUUCAAAGGACAGGUAACAGACCCAGGGCUGCAUCCACCGAGGGGGCCGUCUGUGUGCAUACGCAUGGCCGCGAGUCACAGCGGCCUCCUGAGCUCACCGCUGUCCAGCCUCACCUCCACAUCUGCGGUCACCUGGGCCUGAGUGCCUGUUUGCUCACUUGCCUUCUCCUACAUUCACGGGGACCAGGACUACUCCAGUCCCUGGUGAGGCCCUCGCAGGAAGUCCCCUGGGAAAGGUCUCACCGAUGGGACGCCAAGAGCUCCAAUGCCCGUGUUCCAGACGCUAUGCGUCUGCAGACGGUGUUUGGUGACCGCCAUUCUUACAGGAAGAGUCCCUGGGCGGCACAAAUGGUUUGCACUCCACUAACCUAAGGGUUGGUGGUUCAAAUCUACCCAGCAGUGCUGUGAAAAAAAGGCCUGACAAUUUGCUUUUGUAAAAACGACAGCCACGAAAACCCUACGGAGCACAGCUGUACUCUGCACACACAGGGUCUCCAAGAGUCAGAAUCCACUCGAUUUGUGGAUUGGCUGGGUUUUUGGUUCUUGAAGGAAAGUUUCAAUUUUGGUAACGAAAACAACACGUUUUAAAAGAGGUAGGGAAACCCCUGAGUCACGUUCCAGGUGGGGUGUCGGAGCUGCCUGCAACGUGGGGGACAGCGUGGUGGGCGCACCUGUGAACAUGCUACAUCGGGGGGUGGGAGCCACGUGGUGAGCGACAGGCCUCCGCGGUCUGACUGAAUCCCUGUGGAGGAAGCUGGCUGGUGGUCUGGCAUCCUUGCAUCAGAUAUUCCCAUUUUUCCAUGCGGAAUCACCGGAGAUGGGUUUCAAGGUAAUUUCCAAGGGACGGCUGGAGGGAGCACGAGCUCGUGGGGUGCCCAGUGCCCUCCACGAUUCCCUACCCAUCACAACACCCCUGAACCAGGGGUCUGACUGGAGUCGGCAUACCUCACCCUCCCACUGGGACACUCACUGGCCCAUCUGCACUUUAUGACACAGACUCCCUCGGACUGACGUGUCCCCCCUGCUGACCUGGCAUGACCUCUUAUCGGUAAGGCUGAGGUGGCCAACGCAAAAGCUGCCAGGGCACGGCUCCCCUGGCUGCCCUCCCUGGCAUCUGUCCCUGCCCCGUGCCCACACUCAGAGUCCACGGUGGGGCUGCCUUUACCUGCUGAGCCCCAGGAGCCCAGGUGCAGUGUGGCCGUCACAACCACCCCCGCAGGCACGAGGAGGUACACUCAGGGGAGACAGGCCGCAGAAGGAAUGGCCGCUCACAGCCGUUUAGACUCCAGCAAUCCUGACCCCAGGAGCAGCUGUCCCCAAGGACAAUGGGUGGCCAGUGGGGACAGUGCGAGCCCCAGCCAUGGAUACACAGUGGACAUGCCCACUCAGGCAGGAGUCCUCAGGUGUAA